rnacentral:rRNA from 1 species
GACGAACGCUGGCGGCGUGCUUAACACAUGCAAGUCGAACGGAAAGGCCCUGCUUUUGUGGGGUGCUCGAGUGGCGAACGGGUGAGUAACACGUGAGUAACCUGCCCUUGACUUUGGGAUAACUUCAGGAAACUGGGGCUAAUACCGGAUAGGAGCUCCUGCUGCAUGGUGGGGGUUGGAAAGUUUCGGCGGUUGGGGAUGGACUCGCGGCUUAUCAGCUUGUUGGUGGGGUAGUGGCUUACCAAGGCUUUGACGGGUAGCCGGCCUGAGAGGGUGACCGGCCACAUUGGGACUGAGAUACGGCCCAGAAUCGUACGGGAGGCAGCAGUGGGGAGUAUUGCACAAUGGGCGGAAGCCUGAUGCAGCAACGCCGCGUGCGGGAUGACGGCCUUCGGGUUGUAAACCGCUUUCGCCUGUGACGAAGCGUGAGUGACGGUAAUGGGUAAAGAAGCACCGGCUAACUACGUG